rnacentral:sRNA from 1 species
UCCACUUCAGAACACGUCUACCCCAAUGG